CACAACCCUGCUGUCAGAGGAGAAGUCUGAGGACAGUUGAUAAGACACAUAGAAGACUUCAUACUGAAGAAGAGGCAAACAACAAAAAUAGAACAUACCAAUGAGUUGUGAGUGAGAAACUUAGCACCCAGAUAAUAAUCUACAAAGAAGACGUCGCUUUGUAAAUGUGAAAAUGAUUUGGAUCUACAUGAUCAUCUCAUCUCUGGCAACGGCAGCUCUUUCAAAAGGUUCUCUAGAAUGCAACUUAACUAAUCUUAAUGCAAAAACCAAACAGUGUUUUGGAAAACCUGGAGAGCCGAUGAUGUUUCAUCUACCGACUCCAACUACAAAAUUGACUUUGAAAAAGAAUUGUGAUAUAAUUUUUUGGUUAGUCAAUAAUAUAGACGUAACAAACACCAAUAGCAAAAAGGACAAAAGAAUGUCGUUUUUCAACAAUGGAACAUUGAAGCUCAAUGAGGCAUCAAAGGAAGAUUCUGGAGAUUACCUGCUGGAAAUACAUGAUUCCACCACUGGUAAACUUUUGCAUAACAUGAACAUCCAUGUAGAAAUACAAGGUAAGACAAAAAACUUGAAUUGUACUUCAUUCAAAUCUAAUUUAAUGGAAUGUAGCUGGUUAAAGGGCCAAUUUGCAUAUAUUAUAUAUGUACAUAUUUCAUCAUCACUGUGUUUUGAUGAGAAAAUGAGUUAAAUGUUUCACUGAAGCAUUAAUUGAAACAUAUAUACUGUAAAGAUUUUCA